rnacentral:rRNA from 1 species
GACGAACGCUGGCGGCGUGCUUAACACAUGCAAGUCGAACGGAAAGGCCCUGCUUUUGUGGGGUGCUCGAGUGGCGAACGGGUGAGUAACACGUGAGUAACCUGCCCUUGACUUUGGGAUAACUUCAGGAAACUGGGGCUAAUACCGGAUAGGAGCUCCUGCUGCAUGGUGGGGGUUGGAAAGUUUCGGCGGUUGGGUAUGGACUCGCGGCUUAUCAGCUUGUUGGUGGGGUAGUGGCUUACCAAGGCUUUGACGGGUAGCCGGCCUGAGAGGGUGACCGGCCACAUUGGGACUGAGAUACGGCCCAGACUCCUACGGGAGGCAGAAGUGGGGAAUAUUGCACAAUGGGCGGAAGCCUGAUGCAGCAACGCCGCGUGCGGGAUGACGGCCUUCGGGUUGUAAACCGCUUUCGCCUGUGACGAAGCGUGAGUGACGGUAAUGGGUAAAGAAGCACCGGCUAACUACGUG